rnacentral:rRNA from 1 species
GAGCUCAAAUUUAUAAUCUGGCACCUUCGGUGUCCGAGUUGUAAUCUCUAGAAAUGUUUUCCGCGUUGGACCGCACACAAGUCUGUUGGAAUACAGCGGCAUAGUGGUGAGACCCCCGUAUAUGGUGCGGACGCCCAGCGCUUUGUGAUACAUUUUCGAAGAGUCGAGUUGUUUGGGAAUGCAGCUCAAAUUGGGUGGUAAAUUCCAUCUAAAGCUAAAUAUUGGCGAGAGACCGAUAGCGAACAAGUACCGUGAGGGAAAGAUGAAAAGCACUUUGGAAAGAGAGUUAACAGUACGUGAAAUUGUUGGAAGGGAAACGCUUGAAGUCAGACUUGCUUGCCGAGCAAUCGGUUUGCAGGCCAGCAUCAGUUUUCCGGGAUGGAUAAUGGUAGAGAGAAGGUAGCAGUUUCGGCUGUGUUAUAGCUCUCUGCUGGAUACAUCUUGGGGGACUGAGGAACGCAGUGUGCCUUUUGGCGGGGGUUUCGACCUCUUCACACUUAGGAUGCUGGUGGAAUGGCUUUAAACGACCCGUCUU